GGGUUGUGAGGUUAAGCGACUAAGCGUACACGGUGGAUGCCCUGGCAGUCAGAGGCGAUGAAGGACGUGCUAAUCUGCGAUAAGCGUCGGUAAGGUGAUAUGAACCGUUAUAACCGGCGAUUUCCGAAUGGGGAAACCCAGUGUGUUUCGACACACUAUCAUUAACUGAAUCCAUAGGUUAAUGAGGCGAACCGGGGGAACUGAAACAUCUAAGUACCCCGAGGAAAAGAAAUCAACCGAGAUUUCCCCCAGUAGCGGCGAGCGAACGGGGAGGAGCCCAGAGCCUGAAUCAGUGUGUGUGUUAGUGGAAGCGUCUGGAAAGGCGCGCGAUACAGGGUGACAGCCCCGUACACAAAAAUGCACAUGCUGUGAGCUCGAUGAGUAGGGCGGGACACGUGGUAUCCUGUCUGAAUAUGGGGGGACCAUCCUCCAAGGCUAAAUACUCCUGACUGACCGAUAGUGAACCAGUACCGUGAGGGAAAGGCGAAAAGAACCCCGGCGAGGGGAGUGAAAAAGAACCUGAAACCGUGUACGUACAAGCAGUGGGAGCACGCUUAGGCGUGUGACUGCGUACCUUUUGUAUAAUGGGUCAGCGACUUAUAUUCUGUAGCAAGGUUAACCGAAUAGGGGAGCCGAAGGGAAACCGAGUCUUAACUGGGCGUUAAGUUGCAGGGUAUAGACCCGAAACCCGGUGAUCUAGCCAUGGGCAGGUUGAAGGUUGGGUAACACUAACUGGAGGACCGAACCGACUAAUGUUGAAAAAUUAGCGGAUGACUUGUGGCUGGGGGUGAAAGGCCAAUCAAACCGGGAGAUAGCUGGUUCUCCCCGAAAGCUAUUUAGGUAGCGCCUCGUGAACUCAUCUCCGGGGGUAGAGCACUGUUUCGGCAAGGGGGUCAUCCCGACUUACCAACCGAUGCAAACUGCGAAUACCGGAGAAUGUUAUCACGGGAGACACACGGCGGGUGCUAACGUCCGUCGUGAAGAGGGAAACAACCCAGACCGCCAGCUAAGGUCCCAAAGUCAUGGUUAAGUGGGAAACGAUGUGGGAAGGCCCAGACAGCCAGGAUGUUGGCUUAGAAGCAGCCAUCAUUUAAAGAAAGCGUAAUAGCUCACUGGUCGAGUCGGCCUGCGCGGAAGAUGUAACGGGGCUAAACCAUGCACCGAAGCUGCGGCAGCGACGCUUAUGCGUUGUUGGGUAGGGGAGCGUUCUGUAAGCCUGCGAAGGUGUGCUGUGAGGCAUGCUGGAGGUAUCAGAAGUGCGAAUGCUGACAUAAGUAACGAUAAAGCGGGUGAAAAGCCCGCUCGCCGGAAGACCAAGGGUUCCUGUCCAACGUUAAUCGGGGCAGGGUGAGUCGACCCCUAAGGCGAGGCCGAAAGGCGUAGUCGAUGGGAAACAGGUUAAUAUUCCUGUACUUGGUGUUACUGCGAAGGGGGGACGGAGAAGGCUAUGUUGGCCGGGCGACGGUUGUCCCGGUUUAAGCGUGUAGGCUGGUUUUCCAGGCAAAUCCGGAAAAUCAAGGCUGAGGCGUGAUGACGAGGCACUACGGUGCUGAAGCAACAAAUGCCCUGCUUCCAGGAAAAGCCUCUAAGCAUCAGGUAACAUCAAAUCGUACCCCAAACCGACACAGGUGGUCAGGUAGAGAAUACCAAGGCGCUUGAGAGAACUCGGGUGAAGGAACUAGGCAAAAUGGUGCCGUAACUUCGGGAGAAGGCACGCUGAUAUGUAGGUGAAGCGACUUGCUCGUGGAGCUGAAAUCAGUCGAAGAUACCAGCUGGCUGCAACUGUUUAUUAAAAACACAGCACUGUGCAAACACGAAAGUGGACGUAUACGGUGUGACGCCUGCCCGGUGCCGGAAGGUUAAUUGAUGGGGUUAGCGCAAGCGAAGCUCUUGAUCGAAGCCCCGGUAAACGGCGGCCGUAACUAUAACGGUCCUAAGGUAGCGAAAUUCCUUGUCGGGUAAGUUCCGACCUGCACGAAUGGCGUAAUGAUGGCCAGGCUGUCUCCACCCGAGACUCAGUGAAAUUGAACUCGCUGUGAAGAUGCAGUGUACCCGCGGCAAGACGGAAAGACCCCGUGAACCUUUACUAUAGCUUGACACUGAACAUUGAGCCUUGAUGUGUAGGAUAGGUGGGAGGCUUUGAAGUGUGGACGCCAGUCUGCAUGGAGCCGACCUUGAAAUACCACCCUUUAAUGUUUGAUGUUCUAACGUUGACCCGUAAUCCGGGUUGCGGACAGUGUCUGGUGGGUAGUUUGACUGGGGCGGUCUCCUCCUAAAGAGUAACGGAGGAGCACGAAGGUUGGCUAAUCCUGGUCGGACAUCAGGAGGUUAGUGCAAUGGCAUAAGCCAGCUUGACUGCGAGCGUGACGGCGCGAGCAGGUGCGAAAGCAGGUCAUAGUGAUCCGGUGGUUCUGAAUGGAAGGGCCAUCGCUCAACGGAUAAAAGGUACUCCGGGGAUAACAGGCUGAUACCGCCCAAGAGUUCAUAUCGACGGCGGUGUUUGGCACCUCGAUGUCGGCUCAUCACAUCCUGGGGCUGAAGUAGGUCCCAAGGGUAUGGCUGUUCGCCAUUUAAAGUGGUACGCGAGCUGGGUUUAGAACGUCGUGAGACAGUUCGGUCCCUAUCUGCCGUGGGCGCUGGAGAACUGAGGGGGGCUGCUCCUAGUACGAGAGGACCGGAGUGGACGCAUCACUGGUGUUCGGGUUGUCAUGCCAAUGGCACUGCCCGGUAGCUAAAUGCGGAAGAGAUAAGUGCUGAAAGCAUCUAAGCACGAAACUUGCCCCGAGAUGAGUUCUCCCUGACUCCUUGAGAGUCCUGAAGGAACGUUGAAGACGACGACGUUGAUAGGCCGGGUGUGUAAGCGCAGCGAUGCGUUGAGCUAACCGGUACUAAUGAACCGUGAGGCUUAACCUUACAACGCCGAAGCUGUU
rnacentral:rRNA from 1 species